CUGUCCAUUAGGGUUUGUCGUCUCAACGUCAGCUCGCACCGUUAUUAAGAGGUAGCCCAAACACAUGACCAUGUCCACAUGUGCGACAUAAACCCGUGAAGAGAGGUUGGAGGAUAUCACCGCAGUAGGAACGGGAUUAAAAGGGCCACUCUCUGAGCUCGUAGAGAGAACAGACUGGACAGAAAGCCGGACUGCUGCACUUAAAGUGAAUAACAAACUAAAGAACCUUACAGUUCUAGGGUCUCAUCUGGGAUCGUCAGAUACAGGUUAACCAGACGCUGCCCAAGAUCCAGUGGUUCAGACCAUCACCACUAACCGCAAUGAAAUCUCUAAUGGCCGGGACCAUCAACUCCAUGACGAUCUCAGAAUAUCUACGGCAAUCCCAGUGUAAACAUGUCUUUUCUGUUCAUUUAAGACCUAUUUAUAGUAAUAAACAUGUGUCCUUGUUUGUUUUAUCUAUCCACUAGUCUGGAGAGAAAACUUUGUUGCACCUAAAGUGGGAAGGUCAGGAAUUUUUCCCACAAGACUCGGGUUUUUGCCUGGCCCUGGAGUAAUUUUAUUCUCUAUAGUUAUUCUGUUAGAAUAAAAGAGAGCAAUGUAAGAAUACAUUUCUUAUAGUUAUUAUAAAAUCCCUCUGUUAGUCUAGAAUGAAGAAGCUUGUGUUCGUUUCAGGUAUGGACUGCCCAUGUCCCCUUAAUCUGAUGAUUCAACAUGCAGCGAAUGGUCUCUCUGCAGAACUAACUGCUCUCUCAGAUCUCGAGUUGUAGCACUACUUCAUGUCAUAGAAGAAGAUUUCCCUUGUAUCUGUAGAACUAACGAUAACCAGUGGCAGUUAGCUAAUCUCCAACUGCUCACAACCAGCUCCAUUACUCACACACACUCUGCUUUCCCCUCAUGCAUUGCCUCCCUUUUCCUCACACACACACACACACCUCACCUCCACAAACACCUUCCCUCUGCUGCUAAUAAACUAGAGCUUCUCUGACUAAAACUGACUCUGGUCUCUUAAUUUGCUACUCUCCGAGCUUGUAGAGAGAACAGGCUGGACAUCAAACUGGACGGCAAACUAAAGAACCUUACAAAUCUAGAACCUUAAAGAAUCUUUUCAUGCCACAAGAUCUUUUAAGAGUCCUUUCAUGCAGAAGAACAAGGCAUCCC